rnacentral:rRNA from 1 species
ACAUGCAGUCGAACGAUGAACCUCACUUGUGGGGGGAUUAGUGGCGAACGGGUGAGUAACACGUGAGUAACCUGCCCUUGACUCUGGGAUAAGCCUGGGAAACCGGGUCUAAUACUGGAUACGACCUUCCCGCGCAUGCGGUGUUGGUGGAAAGCUUUUGCGGUUUUGGAUGGACUCGCGGCCUAUCAGCUUGUUGGUGGGGUAAUGGCCUACCAAGGCGACGACGGGUAGCCGGCCUGAGAGGGUGACCGGCCACACUGGGACUGAGACACGGCCCAGACUCCUACGGGAGGCAGCAGUGGGGAAUAUUGCACAAUGGGCGCAAGCCUGAUGCAGCGACGCCGCGUGAGGGAUGAAGGCCUUCGGGUUGUAAACCUCUUUCAGUAGGGAAGAAGCUGGCCCUUUGGGUUGAUGACGGUACCUGCAGAAGAAGCGCCGGCUAACUACGUGCC